rnacentral:rRNA from 1 species
AUGUUACGGGAGAGAUGUGGCCUCCGUGAUAGUGUAUAUGUGACUGUGGAAGAGAAAGUUGCAAUGUUCUUACUUGUAGUUGGCCAUAGUAUCAAGAUGAGGAUGUUGCGUGGCACCUACAAGCGUUCUUUAUGGACCAUUAGUACACACUUCUCUGCUGUCCUAACAGCCCUACUCUCUCUAUAUGAGGAGUUCAUUAAGCUACCUUCCGCUACCGCUCAAGCUCCUGAUGAGUACAAAUGGAAGUGGUUUGGUAAUGCACUUGGAGCACUAGAUGGUUGCCAUAUUGACGUGCUUGUUGAUGUGGCUGACCAAGGAAGGUAUAUGAACAGAAAGCAAGCCAUUACCACUAACAUGCUA